UACUGCCUACGGGGCGCAGCAGUGGGGAAUAUUGCACAAUGGGGGAAACCCUGAUGCAGCGACGCCGCGUGAGUGAAGAAGUAUUUCGGUAUGUAAAGCUCUAUCAGCAGGGAAGAAAAUGACGGUACCUGACUAAGAAGCCCCGGCUAACUACGUGCCAGCAGCCGCGGGAAUACGUAGGGGGCAAGCGUUAUCCGGAUUUACUGGGUGUAAAGGGAGCGUAGAAGGCAUGGCAA
rnacentral:rRNA from 1 species